rnacentral:rRNA from 1 species
GCUACACAUGCAGUCGAACGGGGAUACGUUUUCGGAUGUAUUCUAGUGGCGCACGGGUGAGUAACGCGUGAGCGACCUGACCCAAAGAGGGGGAUAACAUCGAGAAAUCGAUGCUAAUACCGCAUAAGACCACGGUAUCGCAUGGUACAGAGGUCAAAGGAGCAAUCCGCUUUGGGAGGGGCUCGCGUCCCAUUAGAUAGUAGGCGGGGUAACGGCCCACCUAGUCAACGAUGGGUAGCCGAGCUGAGAGGCUGAUCGGCCACACUGGAACUGAGACACGGUCCAGACUCCUACGGGAGGCAGCAGUGGGGAAUAUUGGGCAAUGGGCGAAAGCCUGACCCAGCAACGCCGCGUGAGGGAAGAAGGUUUUCGGAUUGUAAACCUCUGUCGCAGAUGACGAAGGAAGUGACGGUAAUCUGUGAGGAAGCCCCGGCUAACUACGUGCCAGCAGCCGCGGUAAUACGUAGGGGGCGAGCGUUGUCCGGAAUUACUGGGCGUAAAGGGUGCGUAGGCGGUUGAUUAAGUUGGAUGUGAAAUACCCGGGCUUAACCUGGGGGGUGCAUUCAAAACUGGUCAACUAGAGUUCAGGGGAGGGAAGCGGAAUUCCUAGUGUAGCGGUGAAAUGCGUAGAUAUUAGGAGGAACACCAGUGGCGAAGGCGGCUUUCUGGACUGACACUGACGCUGAGGCACGAAAGCGUGGGGAGCAAACAGGAUUAGAUACCCUGGUAGUCCACGCGGUAAACGAUGAAUACUAGGUGUAGGGGGUAUCAACUCCCUCUGUGCCGCAGCAAACGCAAUAAGUAUUCCGCCUGGGGAGUACGGCCGCAAGGUUGAAACUCAAAGGAAUUGACGGGGGCCCGCACAAGCAGCGGAGCAUGUGGUUUAAUUCGAUGCAACGCGAAGAACCUUACCAAGGCUUGACAUCCUGCUAAAGCCAUAGAGAUAUGGUGUCCCUUCGGGGGAGCAGAGACAGGUGGUGCAUGGUUGUCGUCAGCUCGUGUCGUGAGAUGUUGGGUUUAGUCCCGCAACGAGC